rnacentral:rRNA from 1 species
UACGUAGGGGGCAAGCGUUGUCCGGAAUUAUUGGGCGUAAAGAGCGCGUAGGCGGUCCGAUAAGUCGGCUGUGAAAGUCAAGGGCUCAACCCUUGGAAGCCGGCCGAUACUGUCGGACUAGAGUCCGGAAGAGGCGAGUGGAAUUCCCGGUGUAGCGGUGAAAUGCGCAGAUAUCGGGAGGAAAACCAAUUGCGAAGGCAGCUCGCUGGGACGGUACUGACGCUGAGGCGCGAAAGCGUGGGGAGCGAACAGG